rnacentral:rRNA from 1 species
CACAUGCAAGUCGAACGAAGUAGCAAUACUUAGUGGCAGACGGGUGAGUAACAUGUGGGUAUCUGCCCUUUGGCCUGGAAUAACACGAGGAAACUUGUGCUAAUACCGGAUAAGUCUUUACGGAGAAAGCUUUAUGCACCAUUGGAUGAGCCCGCACUAGAUUAGUUUGUUGGUGGGGUAAUGGCCUACCAAGACUGUGAUCUAUAGCUGAUUUGAGAGGAUGAUCAGCCACAUUGGGACUGAGACACGGCCCAAACUCCUACGGGAGGCAGCAGUGGGGAAUCUUGCACAAUGGAGGAAACUCUGAUGCAGCGAUGCCGCGUGAGUGAAGAAGGCCUUUGGGUUGUAAAGCUCUUUCGUCGGGGAAGAAAAUGACUGUACCCGAAUAAGAAGGUCCGGCUAACUUCGUGCCAGCAGCCGCGGUAAUACGAAGGGACCUAGCGUAGUUCGGAAUUACUGGGCUUAAAGAGUUCGUAGGUGGUUGAAAAAGUUGGUGGUGAAAUCCCAGAGCUUAACUCUGGAACUGCCAUCAAAACUUUUCAGCUAGAGUAUGAUAGAGGAAAGCAGAAUUUCUAGUGUAGAGGUGAAAUUCGUAGAUAUUAGAAAGAAUACCAAUUGCGAAGGCAGCUUUCUGGAUCAUUACUGACACUGAGGAACGAAAGCAUGGGUAGCGAAGAGGAUUAGAUACCCUCGUAGUCCAUGCCGUAAACGAUGUGUGUUAGACGUUGGAAAUUUAUUUUCAGUGUCGCAGCGAAAGCGAUAAACACACCGCCUGGGGAGUACGACCGCAAGGUUAAAACUCAAAUGAAUUGACGGGGACCCGCACAAGUAGUGGAGCAUGUGGUUUAAUUCGAAGAUACGCGCAGAACCUUACCAACACUUGACAUGUUCGUCGCGACUCUAAGAGAUUAGAGUUUUCGGUUCGGCCGGACGAAACACAGGUGCUGCAUGGCUGUCGUCAGCUCGUGUCGUGAGAUGUUGGGUUAAGUCCCGCAACGAGCGCAACCCUCACUUUUAGUUGCCAUCAUUAAGUUGGGCACUCUGAAAGAACUGCCAGUGAUAAGCUGGAGGAAGGUGGGGAUGACGUCAAGUCCUCAUGGCCCUUACGUGUUGGGCUACACACGUGCUACAAUGGUAUCUACAACAGGAAGCAAGACUGCGAAGUUAAGCAAAUCCCUAAAAGAUACCUCAGUUCGGAUUGCACUCUGCAACUCGAGUGCAUGAAGCUGGAAUUACUAGUAAUCGUGGAUCAGCGUGCCACGGUGAAUGCGUUCCCGGGUCUUGUACACACCGCCCGUCACACCAUGGGAGUUGGUUCUACCUUAAGGCAAGGUUUUAAACCCUUGACCACGGUAUAGUCAGCGACUGGGGUGAAGUCGUAACAAGGUAGCCGUAGGGGAACCUGCGGCUGGAUUACCUCCUUU